rnacentral:rRNA from 1 species
UACGUAUGGUGCAAGCGUUAUCCGGAUUUACUGGGCGUAAAGGGAGCGCAGGCGGUGCGCCUAGUCUGAUGUGAAACCCCGGGGCUCAACCCCGGGCAUGCAUUGGAAACUGGCGGGCUGGAGUGCCGGAGAGGUAAGCGGAAUUCCUAGUGUAGCGGUGAAAUGCGUAGAUAUUAGGAGGAACACCAGUGGCGAAGGCGGCUUACUGGACGGCAACUGACGCUGAGGCUCGAAAGCGUGGGGAGCAAACAGG